GACGAACGCUGGCGGCGUGCUUAACACAUGCAAGUCGAACGUGAUUUUUAAGGAAAGCCCUUCGGGGAAGGAAUUAAAAUGAAAGUGGCGAACGGGUGAGUAACACGUGAGCAACCUACCUUACACAGGGGGAUAGCCGUUGGAAACGACGAUUAAUACCGCAUGAGACCACAGAAUCGCAUGAUAUAGGGGUCAAAGAUUUAUCGGUGUAAGAAGGGCUCGCGUCUGAUUAGCUAGUUGGAAGGGUAAAGGCCUACCAAGGCGACGAUCAGUAGCCGGUCUGAGAGGAUGAACGGCCACAUUGGAACUGAGACACGGUCCAAACUCCUACGGGAGGCAGCAGUGGGGAAUAUUGCACAAUGGGGGGAACCCUGAUGCAGCGACGCCGCGUGAGCGAAGAAGGUUUUCGAAUCGUAAAGCUCUGUCCUANGAGAAGAUAANGA
rnacentral:rRNA from 1 species